CUCAUUGCCUCCCCGUCCCUGUCUCCCCUGACACUCGUUCCUCCAGAAGCCCGGUAAACCCCGUCCUUACGAGCCCCGCCCCUAGCUCUUCUACUACGGAGGGGAACUGCAGAGCCAGAAGAGCACGGAGCAGCAACUCGCAGCCCAAUUGGUGACGCUGCAGAAUGAACUGGAGCUGGCGGAGACCAAAUGCGCCUUGCAGGAGGAGAAGCUGCAGCAGGACGCGCUGCAGACAGCGGAGGCCUGGGCCAUAUUCCAGGAGCAGACCGUAGUCCUGCAGGUGCGGCCCCACUCAGACGCCAAGGUGCCUCCCGCCUCUCCUCCCCCAGACCUGGGGCGGUGUGACGGGCAGCUUCGCAGAGUGCAGUACAGCACCGAGUCGCUCAUGGAGGAGAUGGCCAGGGCGGACCGAGAGACGCGGCUGUUCGGCGGUCCUCGCGCGCUGGCCAUCAGGCGCUGCUGACGCUGCCGCUCCUCUUCCUGGGGCUGUCGCUGCUCUGGACGGUGCUGUUGGACCCCGGCGCCGUCUCCGCGUGGCUCUGGAGCCUCACCUCGGAGACGACGCUGCGCCGCCUGCGCUACACGCUGUCCCCGCUGCUGGAGCUGCGCGCUAACGGGCUGCUGCCAACCUAAGUGCAGCGCCCCGCGCCUGGCUCCAGGUGGACUCCAGGGCACCGGCUUUAUUUCUGGUGCACUCCUCUCCUGAGAGUGUAGACCAAGGUCGCCUAAUAAACUCCUCAAGGGAUGAA
rnacentral:lncRNA from 1 species